rnacentral:lncRNA from 1 species
CUUUACCAUAAAAUUGAGAAUGGAAAUGGGGAAUGUGUCAAAGAGACAACAACCCGACCAAAUAAAAAAACAACAGCAGAGGGUCACCAACAGGUCUUCAAUGUAGCGAGAAAUUCCCGCACCCGGAGGCGUCCUUCAGCUGGCCCCUUAACAAAUAUAUACUAGUCCAGUGAUAAUGAACGCCAUACUAAUUUCCAAAUUGUACACAAGAAACUAAAAUUAAAAUAAUACAAGACUAACAAAGGCCAGAGGCUCCUGACUUGGGACAGGCGCAAAAAUGCGGCGGGGUUAAACAUGUUUGUGAGAUCUCAACCCUCCCACUAUACCUCUAACCAAUGUAGUAAAGUAAACGCAUAACAAUACGCACAUUAAAAUUCAGUUCAAGAGAAAUCCGAGUCUUAUGUCAGAAGAUGUAACCAAAGAAAAUAAACAAAAUGACAAUAAUACAUAAAUAACUACAGACUACUAGCAGUUAACUGACAUGCCAGCUCCAGACUUCAAUUAAACUGACUGAAAGAUUAUGAUUUCAUCAUAUGAACAUCAGGCACAAUCCUUCCCGUUAGGGGUUUAGUAUCAUACCAUCAUAACAUAUAUGAGAAGAACAUAACCUGUGUCAUGCCAACAACUGUUUUUAGAAUAAAUGUGUUUAGUUCCGAUGCAAAGACCUUAUCAGUGACUCAAUAUUAACGCCAA